rnacentral:rRNA from 4 species
UAGGUGAACUGCGGAAGAUCAUUGUUG